CUAACCCUCGAGCUAUUUUUCCAGUCUCGCAGUGACGUCACGCGCCCUAUCCCAGCUCACUCUGUGAGCGCGUGGUCCUGGUCGCGAGCACAUGGAAGUGAGCUCGAGUUGAGACGCGCCUCCGACCAUCACCAUCGUGCAAACAUUAAUAAAAAAACCCGGAAUAUGACCACAAAGAUGGAGCAUCAGGAGCUGAGACACAGCAGCGGGGUUUUAAACUAAAUCUUCCUCUAAGAUGCACGAGCAGGCGGCUGCUGCUGCUGCAGGGGCCGCAGAAGCUCACCACUGUGGAUUCAAUUAACGCACAAUUGAGGAUUUUGGACUAAAUAGGAAAGAUGCAAAGAUGGAAGCAGGCAGUGUUGGAUUCAGUUUCACAGCAUCUUUUAGAAGCAUACGUGCACAAAUGAGUUUUAAUAGUACCUACUUCCCCUUUCUUUGACAGGACACAGAUACACCCCUAACUGGGCCCCCCUGUGGUUCAUUGAGUUUGGGAAGUACCUAGUAGUACAACUGCCACGUUGCUCUUAAAGGGCCAGCAGAGUGUUUUAUUUACAUGAAACCAGAGGUCAUGUUGUUGAACGUUUGAAACUUUUUAGCUUACAUUUAGGUUUGCUGUGUAUAAUUGAUGUGGUCAUGAGGACUUUGAUAUUUGAGACCUGGAAAUCAAGACACGACUAUAUAUGGACGCAAGGAGAAAAGGGGAGGGAUUUGCUUUGCAGCCAAUCCUAAACCAAUGUACUUUAAAAAUUUUUUUCCUAUUUUCAGCAUUUUUGUAGCUCAUUUUAGGCACUUGUUACUGUUAAAUGUUGGAAAGAGGUGCACACUUUUCUGAAUAAAAUUGCCAGUAUAGCAGCAUCGUUAUUGCUUUUUUUAUGUGUGGUAUCCAGUUAAUCAAGGAAGCCCGUGAAGCCACCUGAAGACCAGUUUGCGCUGCGUACUGUGCCAGGGGAAAACCUUUCACUCUACUUAUGAGCCACUUGUACUUUUUAACAGAUCAUUUUACACCCACAAGACACCUUACUGCAGAAUUUCAGUGUUGAUGUUUUUACAUGUGAUUAACAGCUGAGUCAGCGGUACCAAUUCCCAUCAACUAAGUGUCUGACUAGAUGUCUGAUGAGAUAUUUCAAAAUAAAUGCGAAACAUGAUAAAUUUAGGGGAAAAGUGAGUGAAACAGAGCAUGUACACCAUCGAAAAUGUUGAGGAAAAACAUGCAGUAAAGCUGUUAGACCCUGAUAGAGGUUGCAUGUUACGACUGUUGUUGACAGCAUCGACUGCCUUAUUGGUUUAUGUCUUACACAUCAGUGUCUGGGUUUAGUGCACCACAAACCAAAAGUAGGUUAUUUUCUCAUGUCUUGAAUCCUGAAAACACCCCAGUUAUGUAAUCUACACAUUUGCCCAAACAUUUCUGAGAAUGUUUAAAAUGAAACCGAAGGUAAAAGAAUGAAAAACCGUAAGUUUGAGAACCGUUAAGCCGAAAUAGUUAUGCACUGUUCUUCUGCACAACAGCGAAUAAAUAACGACACAAAAUCUUUCACUCUCAGUUUCAAUCUUAAAAUUUAAUUGUCACGUUGACUUCAGUGGAUUAUGUGCCUGAAGCGGUCUGUUUACAGGUGGAGGUAUGAGGGCUGCCUGGACAGCAGCUCCCCCUUGUGUGCUGUACAGGAAUGUGCUGUCAGGCGUCACAACCCACACAUAGCUGCUGCAGGACUUCAGAACUGGCCCAUCCCUAUUGAAGAAAAGCAUCCCCACAUGAUGAUGCUGCCACCUCCAUCUGUGACCAUGGGGACGAUGUGUUCAGAGUAGUGCAGAGUUUUAGUCACAUGUGAGCUGUCAUAACCCCCCGAAGCAAAGAAACUGCAGAUUAAAAAGAGUCCCGACUUGUUGCAGGAAAGGCCUGUUGAGUGGCAGAAUGACUUAUGAAGGAAUCCGUAAAAACUGACUGGAAGAAAACCGCUCCUCUAAGUACUACUCCUGAUUGCUGCCUGAUGAGCUCCAGCUGCAACCAAUGCAGCUGUCACACCCUGGAGAGAGAGAAGAUGGAUGGAGCUCAGAUUCACCAUGAAGUGGAUAAUAAGGAGACUGCAGAACGUCUUUCUCUCUGACUGAUCAAGCAACUGAUCAUUCUAGCUGAAUGAUGGACUCUGACCUGAGCCUCCAGAAACAUGUUAAAAUGGUGGAGAUGACGGCUGACUUCAGAGAACGUCAUCAACUCUGCUUUCUCGUCCUGAACAACUCUGAAGAUUUUUUCUAGUUACUUUGGAACCAUCUUAUCUCUGUGGUCCUCACACAUUGACACUAUUCAGAAGAAAUCCCAGCAGAGACGGUUACAAGAAGUACAACCUACUGAAGGAGCUGCUGGACUUCUUCUUUUUCCUGUGCACAUCCAUCACUGAGUGGUUUGGCUCAUCCACAAACAGGACAGGACCAGAGCGCAUAAUUGGGAGAGGAUCAUCAGUGCUGGUAUCCCUUUAAUGGUAUCUAAAGGUGGUGGACUGGGAUACCUUCUAAAAUAUAUACAAAAUCUUUGGUUUUUGUGACAUGUAAGUUUUAGGUUUUGCAAUAAAAUCUUUCACCACCUAACCAAGUAA